AUGGCAGCUUCUUCAUUGGUUCUAAUUGAUUCCUAUCAUUAUUUUGAUCCUGGAUACUAAACAAUUGACAAGAAGCUACAGCAGACUUCUUGUUGAUCAUAUCAUUGCACUUUUCAGCUGAACAAAGAGUAAGUGUAUUAUUAUUAUCCAAACCCUUCAACUCAAAAGCUAAAUGACCCACUUUAUGUAACGCCCUGCGUUUAUACCACU
rnacentral:lncRNA from 1 species